rnacentral:lncRNA from 1 species
UUCCUACUCGGUUGAGUUUGACGAAUUUUAACCCCAUUCACCGUGCUUGGGGUGAGUUUUGGCUUAAGAAUGUUAGAGUGGUUGGUAAUAACUCUGAAAUCCAGAUUGAUAAUGUUGCUGCUGUUCGAUUAUUAGCUGAUGGUUGUUAUGUCGAUCUUGGUCUUUGGUUACAAAAGGAUUUACAUGAAAUGGCAAAUAAUACUAAUCCGACUUUUACUUUGGGGCAUUGCAACUUGAUUGCUGCUUUGUGUAGAGCA